rnacentral:rRNA from 1 species
UGGGGAAUCUUGGUCAAUGGGCGAAAGCCUGAACCAGCGAUUCUGCGUGAAGGAUGAAGCCUCGCGGGGUGUAAACUUCUUUUCUGGGGGAAGACGAAUGACGGUACCCCAAGAAUAAGGGACGGCUAACUACGUGCCAGCAGCCGCGGUAAUACGUAGGUCCCAAGCGUUAUCCGGAUUUACUGGGCGUAAAGAGUCUGUAGCUGGUUAUACAAGUCUAUUUUCAAAGACCUUGGCUCAACUAAGGGAAGGGAAUGGAUACUGUAUAUCUGGAGGUUAUUAGGGGUUAGUAGAAUUCCCGGUGGAGGGGUGAAAUCCGUUGAUAUUGGGAGGAAUGCCAAAAGCGAAAGCAGCUAACUAUAAUUAUCCUGACAGUGAGAGACGAAAGCAUGGGUAGCAA